UAAGCGACUAAGCGUACACGGUGGAUGCCCUGGCAGUCAGAGGCGAUGAAGGACGUGCUAAUCUGCGAUAAGCGUCGGUAAGGUGAUAUGAACCGUUAUAACCGGCGAUUUCCGAAUGGGGAAACCCAGUGUGUUUCGACACACUAUCAUUAACUGAAUCCAUAGGUUAAUGAGGCGAACCGGGGGAACUGAAACAUCUAAGUACCCCGAGGAAAAGAAAUCAACCGAGAUUCCCCCAGUAGCGGCGAGCGAACGGGGAGCAGCCCAGAGCCUGAAUCAGUGUGUGUGUUAGUGGAAGCGUCUGGAAAGGCGCGCGAUACAGGGUGACAGCCCCGUACACAAAAAUGCACAUGCUGUGAGCUCGAUGAGUAGGGCGGGACACGUGGUAUCCUGUCUGAAUAUGGGGGGGACCAUCCUCCAAGGCUAAAUACUCCUGACUGACCGAUAGUGAACCAGUACCGUGAGGGAAAGGCGAAAAGAACCCCGGCGAGGGGAGUGAAAAAGAACCUGAAACCGUGUACGUACAAGCAGUGGGAGCACAGAGCAAUCUGUGUGACUGCGUACCUUUUGUAUAAUGGGUCAGCGACUUAUAUUCUGUAGCAAGGUUAACCGAAUAGGGGAGCCGAAGGGAAACCGAGUCUUAACUGGGCGUUAAGUUGCAGGGUAUAGACCCGAAACCCGGUGAUCUAGCCAUGGGCAGGUUGAAGGUUGGGUAACACUAACUGGAGGACCGAACCGACUAAUGUUGAAAAAUUAGCGGAUGACUUGUGGCUGGGGGUGAAAGGCCAAUCAAACCGGGAGAUAGCUGGUUCUCCCCGAAAGCUAUUUAGGUAGCGCCUCGUGAAUUCAUCUCCGGGGGUAGAGCACUGUUUCGGCAAGGGGGUCAUCCCGACUUACCAACCCGAUGCAAACUGCGAAUACCGGAGAAUGUUAUCACGGGAGACACACGGCGGGUGCUAACGUCCGUCGUGAAGAGGGAAACAACCCAGACCGCCAGCUAAGGUCCCAAAGUCAUGGUUAAGUGGGAAACGAUGUGGGAAGGCCCAGACAGCCAGGAUGUUGGCUUAGAAGCAGCCAUCAUUUAAAGAAAGCGUAAUAGCUCACUGGUCGAGUCGGCCUGCGCGGAAGAUGUAACGGGGCUAAACCAUGCACCGAAGCUGCGGCAGCGACGCUUAUGCGUUGUUGGGUAGGGGAGCGUUCUGUAAGCCUGCGAAGGUGUGCUGUGAGGCAUGCUGGAGGUAUCAGAAGUGCGAAUGCUGACAUAAGUAACGAUAAAGCGGGUGAAAAGCCCGCUCGCCGGAAGACCAAGGGUUCCUGUCCAACGUUAAUCGGGGCAGGGUGAGUCGACCCCUAAGGCGAGGCCGAAAGGCGUAGUCGAUGGGAAACAGGUUAAUAUUCCUGUACUUGGUGUUACUGCGAAGGGGGGACGGAGAAGGCUAUGUUGGCCGGGCGACGGUUGUCCCGGUUUAAGCGUGUAGGCUGGUUUUCCAGGCAAAUCCGGAAAAUCAAGGCUGAGGCGUGAUGACGAGGCACUACGGUGCUGAAGCAACAAAUGCCCUGCUUCCAGGAAAAGCCUCUAAGCAUCAGGUAACAUCAAAUCGUACCCCAAACCGACACAGGUGGUCAGGUAGAGAAUACCAAGGCGCUUGAGAGAACUCGGGUGAAGGAACUAGGCAAAAUGGUGCCGUAACUUCGGGAGAAGGCACGCUGAUAUGUAGGUGAAGUCCCUCGCGGAUGGAGCUGAAAUCAGUCGAAGAUACCAGCUGGCUGCAACUGUUUAUUAAAAACACAGCACUGUGCAAACACGAAAGUGGACGUAUACGGUGUGACGCCUGCCCGGUGCCGGAAGGUUAAUUGAUGGGGUUAGCGCAAGCGAAGCUCUUGAUCGAAGCCCCGGUAAACGGCGGCCGUAACUAUAACGGUCCUAAGGUAGCGAAAUUCCUUGUCGGGUAAGUUCCGACCUGCACGAAUGGCGUAAUGAUGGCCAGGCUGUCUCCACCCGAGACUCAGUGAAAUUGAACUCGCUGUGAAGAUGCAGUGUACCCGCGGCAAGACGGAAAGACCCCGUGAACCUUUACUAUAGCUUGACACUGAACAUUGAGCCUUGAUGUGUAGGAUAGGUGGGAGGCUUUGAAGUGUGGACGCCAGUCUGCAUGGAGCCGACCUUGAAAUACCACCCUUUAAUGUUUGAUGUUCUAACGUGGACCCGUAAUCCGGGUUGCGGACAGUGUCUGGUGGGUAGUUUGACUGGGGCGGUCUCCUCCUAAAGAGUAACGGAGGAGCACGAAGGUUGGCUAAUCCUGGUCGGACAUCAGGAGGUUAGUGCAAUGGCAUAAGCCAGCUUGACUGCGAGCGUGACGGCGCGAGCAGGUGCGAAAGCAGGUCAUAGUGAUCCGGUGGUUCUGAAUGGAAGGGCCAUCGCUCAACGGAUAAAAGGUACUCCGGGGAUAACAGGCUGAUACCGCCCAAGAGUUCAUAUCGACGGCGGUGUUUGGCACCUCGAUGUCGGCUCAUCACAUCCUGGGGCUGAAGUAGGUCCCAAGGGUAUGGCUGUUCGCCAUUUAAAGUGGUACGCGAGCUGGGUUUAGAACGUCGUGAGACAGUUCGGUCCCUAUCUGCCGUGGGCGCUGGAGAAUUGAGGGGGGCUGUUCCUAGUACGAGAGGACCGGAGUGGACGCAUCACUGGUGUUCGGGUUGUCAUGCCAAUGGCACUGCCCGGUAGCUAAAUGCGGAAGAGAUAAGUGCUGAAAGCAUCUAAGCACGAAACUUGCCCCGAGAUGAGUUCUCCCUGACUCCUUGAGAGUCCUGAAGGAACGUUGAAGACGACGACGUUGAUAGGCCGGGUGUGUAAGCGCAGCGAUGCGUUGAGCUAACCGGUACUAAUGAACCGUGAGGCUUAACCU
rnacentral:rRNA from 1 species